GAUCAUGGCUCAGGACGAACGCUGGCGGCGUGCUUCAUACAUGCAAGUCGAACGAGAAUCUGACUUCGGUCAGAGGAAAGUGGCGGACGGGUGAGUAAAAUGUAGAGAACCUGCCUUUGAGUGGGGGACAACAGUUGGAAACGAUUGCUAAUACCCCAUAUGAGUAUAGUUGAAAUAUUAUACUUGAAAACUCCGGUGCUCAAAGAUGAGUCUGCAUCUGAUUAGCUAGUUGGGGGUG
rnacentral:rRNA from 1 species